CCUACGGGAGGCAGCAGUGAGGAAUAUUGGUCAAUGGACGAGAGUCUGAACCAGCCAUGCAGCGUGAAGGAUGACGGCUCUAUGGGUUGUAAACUUCUUUUAUAAGAGAAUAAAACGAGGCACGUGUGCCUUUUUGCAUGUACUUUAUGAAUAAGGAUCGGCUAACUCCGUGCCAGCAGCCGCGGUAAUACGGAGGAUCCGAGCGUUAUCCGGAUUUAUUGGGUUUAAAGGGUGCGUAGAUGGUUUGUUAAGUCAGUGGUGAAAGUUUGCGGCUCAACCGUGAAAUUGCAAGUGAUACUGGAAGUCUUGAGAGUAGUUGCGGUAGGCGGAAUGUAUGGUGUAGCGGUGAAAUGCUUAGAGAUCACGCAGAACACCGAUUGCGAAGGCAGCUUACCAAACUGUGACUGACAUUGAUGCACGAAAGUGUGGGGAGCAAACAGGAUUAGAUACCCGAGUAGUC
rnacentral:rRNA from 1 species